rnacentral:rRNA from 1 species
AACGAGCGCUGGCGGCAUGCCUAACACAUGCAAGUCGAACGAGACCUUCGGGUCUAGUGGCGCACGGGUGCGUAACGCGUGGGAAUCUGCCCUUGGGUUCGGAAUAACAGUUAGAAAUGACUGCUAAUACCGGAUAACGACGUAAGUCCAAAGAUUUAUCGCCCAAGGAUGAGCCCGCGUAGGAUUAGCUCGUUGGUGAGGUAAAGGCUCACCAAGGCGACGAUCCUUAGCUGGUCUGAGAGGAUGAUCAGCCACACUGGGACUGAGACACGGCCCAGACUCCUACGGGAGGCAGCAGUGGGGAAUAUUGGACAAUGGGCGAAAGCCUGAUCCAGCAAUGCCGCGUGAGUGAUGAAGGCCUUAGGGUUGUAAAGCUCUUUUACCCGGGAUGAUAAUGACAGUACCGGGAGAAUAAGCCCCGGCUAACUCCGUGCCAGCCGCCGCAGUAACAC